rnacentral:rRNA from 1 species
CACUGGUGCGCGAGAUGAGUAUUCUAAGGCGCUUGAGAGAACUCUGGAGAAGGAACUCGGCAAAUUGACACCGUAACUUCGGAAGAAGGUGUGCCUUUAGUAGGUGAUCCAUUUACUUGGUGAGCCCAAUGAGGCCGCAGAGAAUCGGUGGCUGCAACUGUUUAUUAAAAACACAGCACUCUGCAAAGACGAAAGUCGACGUAUAGGGUGUGACUCCUGCCCGGUGCUGGAAGAUUAAAUGAUGGGGUGCAAGCUCUUGACUGAAGUCCCAGUAAACGGCGGCCGUAACAAUAACGGUCCUAAGGUAGCGAAAUUCCUUGUCGGGUAAGUUCCGACCUGCACGAAUGGAGUAAUGAUGGCCACACUGUCUCCUCCAGAGACUCAGCGAAGUUGAAAUGUUUGUGAUGAUGCAAUCUCCCCGCGGAAAGACGGAAAGACCCCAUGAACCUUUACUGUAGCUUUACAUUGGACUUUGAACAGAUCUGUGUAGGAUAGGUGGGAGGCUUUGAAGUAGGGACGCUAGUUUCUAUGGAGCCAACGUUGAAAUACCACCCUGGUGUGUUUGAGGUUCUAACCUUGUCCCGUUAUCCGGGAUGGGGACAGUGUAUGGUGGGCAGUUUGACUGGGGCGGUCUCCUCCCAAAGUGUAACGGAGGAGUUCGAAGGUACGCUAAAUACGGUCGGAAAUCGUGUUGAUAGUGCAUUGGCAUAAGCGUGCUUGACUGCGAGACUGACAAGUCGAGCAGGUACGAAAGUAGGACAAAGUGAUCCGGUGGUUCUGUAUGGAAGGGCCAUCGCUCAACGGAUAAAAGGUACUCUGGGGAUAACAGGCUGAUACCGCCCAAGAGUUCAUAUCGACGGCGGUGUUUGGCACCUCGAUGUCGGCUCAUCUCAUCCUGGGGCUGUAGCCGGUCCCAAGGGUAUGGCUGUUCGCCAUUUAAAGAGGUACGUGAGCUGGGUUUAAAACGUCGUGAGACAGUUUGGUCCCUAUCUUCCGUGGGCGCUGCAAGAUUGAGAGAGCCUGCUCCUAGUACGAGAGGACCGGAGUGGACGCACCUCUGGUGUAUCGGUUGUCACGCCAGUGGCAUCGCCGAGUAGCUAAGUGCGGAAGAGAUAACCGCUGAAAGCAUCUAAGCGGGAAACUCGUCUCAAGAUGAGUCUUGCCGGGGCCUAGAGCCCCCUGAAGGGUCGUUCGAGACCAGGACGUUGAUAGGCUGGGUGUGGAAGCGCAGUAAUGCGUUAAGCUAACCAGUACUAAUUGCCCGUGAGGCUUGACCAA